GAGUGGCGAACUGGUGAGUAACACGUGGGAAACCUGCCCAGAAGCGGGGGAUAACACCUGGAAACAGAUGCUAAUACCGCAUAACAACUUGGACCGCAUGGUCCGAGUUUGAAAGAUGGCUUCGGCUAUCACUUUUGGAUGGUCCCGCGGCGUAUUAGCUAGAUGGUGAGGUAACGGCUCACCAUGGCAAUGAUACGUAGCCGACCUGAGAGGGUAAUCGGCCACAUUGGGACUGAGACACGGCCCAAACUCCUACGGGAGGCAGCAGUAGGGAAUCUUCCACAAUGGACGAAAGUCUGAUGGAGCAACGCCGCGUGAGUGAAGAAGGGUUUCGGCUCGUAAAACUCUGUUGUUAAAGAAGAACAUAUCUGAGAGUAACUGUUCAGGUAUUGACGGUAUUUAACCAGAAAGCCACGGCUAACUACGUGCCAGCAGCCGCGGUAAUACGUAGGUGGCAAGCGUUGUCCGGAUUUAUUGGGCGUAAAGCGAGCGCAGGCGGUUUUUUAAGUCUGAUGUGAAAGCCUUCGGCUCAACCGAAGAAGUGCAUCGGAAACUGGGAAACUUGAGUGCAGAAGAGGACAGUGGAACUCCAUGUGUAGCGGUGAAAUGCGUAGAUAUAUGGAAGAACACCAGUGGCGAAGGCGGCUGUCUGGUCUGUAACUGACGCUGAGGCUCGAAAGUAUGGGUAGCAAACAGGAUUAGAUACCCUGGUAGUCCAUACCGUAAACGAUGAAUGCUAAGUGUUGGAGGGUUUCCGCCCUUCAGUGCUGCAGCUAACGCAUUAAGCAUUCCGCCUGGGGAGUACGGCCGCAAGGCUGAAACUCAAAGGAAUUGACGGGGGCCCGCACAAGCGGUGGAGCAUGUGGUUUAAUUCGAAGCUACGCGAAGAACCUUACCAGGUCUUGACAUACUAUGCAAAUCUAAGAGAUUAGACGUUCCCUUCGGGGACAUGGAUACAGGUGGUGCAUGGUUGUCGUCAGCUCGUGUCGUGAGAUGUUGGGUUAAGUCCCGCAACGAGCGCAACCCUUAUUAUCAGUUGCCAGCAUUAAGUUGGGCACUCUGGUGAGACUGCCGGUGACAAACCGGAGGAAGGUGGGGAUGACGUCAAAUCAUCAUGCCCCUUAUGACCUGGGCUACACACGUGCUACAAUGGAUGGUACAACGAGUUGCGAACUCGCGAGAGUAAGCUAAUCUCUUAAAGCCAUUCUCAGUUCGGAUUGUAGGCUGCAACUCGCCUACAUGAAGUCGGAAUCGCUAGUAAUCGCGGAUCAGCAUGCCGCGGUGAAUACGUUCCCGGGCCUUGUACACACCGCCCGUCACACCAUGAGAGUUUGUAACACCCAAAGUCGGUGGGGUAACCUUUUAGGAACCAGCCGCCUAAGGUGGGACAGAUGAUUAGGGUGAAGUCGUAACAAG
rnacentral:rRNA from 1 species